rnacentral:tRNA from 1 species
ACACUGGUCAUUCAGUGGUAGAAUUCUCACUUUCCAUGUGAGAGACGUGGGGUAGAGUCCCAGUCAAUGCA